AAACAAAUAUUGAUCUGACAGGGAUGCUGCAGUGUGGUUCGAAAGAUAACAUGCAUACCCAAAAAUGGAUGGAGCUCAAUAAUGGAAUGAAGGAGAGCCAGUGAGUUUCGCUGCUAUCUGCGUCAGCCAGGAUCUCCUCAUUCCAGAAGAAUAACUGGAGGGGUCUGGGGUAGCAUCGAUCCUUGUGUAUCAGCCGGGUACAGACAAUUCAGCGGAACCCAGAAUGUAUAAUGUCAAUAUAAUGGUCUGGAUGGUUAUGAUCUA
rnacentral:lncRNA from 1 species